GGGCUGGGAAAUGCCUUAAUGCGUUAGCUGCAGCACUAAGGGGCGGAAACCCCCUAACACUUAGUACUCAUCGUUUACGGCGUGGACUACCAGGGUAUCUAAUCCUGUUCGCUCCCCACGCUUUCGCUCCUCAGCGUCAGUUACAGACCAGAGAGUCGCCUUCGCCACUGGUGUUCCUCCACAUCUCUACGCAUUUCACCGCUACACGUGGAAUUCCACUCUCCUCUUCUGCACUCAAGUUUCCCAGUUUCCAAUGACCCUCCCCGGUUGAGCCGGGGGCUUUCACAUCAGACUUAAGAAACCGCCUGCGAGCCCUUUACGCCCAAUAAUUCCGGACAACGCUUGCCACCUACGUAUUACCGCGGCUGCUGGCACGUAGUUAGCCGUGGCUUUCUGGUUAGGUACCGUCAAGGUGCGAGCAGUUACUCUCGCACUUGUUCUUCCCUAACAACAGAGCUUUACGAUCCGAAAACCUUCAUCACUCACGCGGCGUUGCUCCGUCAGACUUUCGUCCAUUGCGGAAGAUUCCCUACUGCUGCCUCCCGUAGGAGUCUGGGCCGUGUCUCAGUCCCAGUGUGGCCGAUCACCCUCUCAGGUCGGCUACGCAUCGUCGCCUUGGUGAGCCAUUACCCCACCAACUAGCUAAUGCGCCGCGGGUCCAUCUGUAAGUGACAGCCGAAACCGUCUUUCAUCCUUGAACCAUGCGGUUCAAGGAACUAUCCGGUAUUAGCUCCGGUUUCCCGGAGUUAUCCCAGUCUUACAGGCAGGUUACCCACGUGUUACUCACCCGUCCGCCGCUAACAUCCGGGAGCAAGCUCCUUCUGUUCGCUCGACUUUGCAUGUAUAAGGCACGCCGCCAGCGUUCGUCCUGAGCCGGGGAUCAAAACUUCAGGGG
rnacentral:rRNA from 1 species